UACAGAGGUGGCAAGCGUUGUUCGGAAUUACUGGGCGUAAAGCGCGUGUAGGCGGCUAAGUAAGUCGGGCGUGAAAUCCCACGGCUCAACCGUGGAAGUGCACUCGAAACUGCAUAGCUAGAGUCCUGGAGAGGAAGGUGGAAUGCUUGGUGUAGAGGUGAAAUUCGUAGAUAUCAAGCGGAACACCGGUGGCGAAGGCGGCCUUCUGGACAGUGACUGACGCUGAGACGCGAAAGCGUGGGGAGCAAACAGGG
rnacentral:rRNA from 1 species